AGAGACUUAGGGAAUAAACAACCAAUAACUGACCCAACUUGAGACCCUCGCAUAAGCAAACACUACUCCCUGACACUAUUUAUGUUACUCUGUUAUGCUUGCAGACAGGAGCCUAGCAUAACUGUCCUCUUAGAGGCUCCAUCCAGUGGCUGAUUGAAACAGAUGUAGAGAACCAUUGCCAAACAUUAGACAGAGUUCUGGUAGUCUUAUGGAAGAGUUGGGAGGAGGACUAAGUACCCUGAAGGAGAAGGGACUCCACAGGAAGGCCAAUAGAGUCAACUAACCUCGACCCUUAGGGGCUCUCAGAAAUGAACCACCAACCAAAGAGCAUAAACAAGCUGAAUCUCGGCCUCCAUGCUCAUAUGUAGUAGAUGUGUAACUCAGUCUUCAUGUGGGUGUUUCCAUGUCUCAGCAAAAUGGUAGUGUCCUGUGAUUUUCAGGACAGCCCUUAAGGUUGUGGAAAAGAAUCCUGAAAACAUGAGCUUGAAAAUAUAUAAUUUCUCAACUAUGUAAGAUAUAAGAAUGCAAUAUGAGUUGUAUAUGGAGCUUCACCGAUCUAAAAGAACAAAGGCAGCUAUACUAUGAGCCAGCUUGUCAGAAAGAUAUGAAGGGUCUUAGUAUUUUUAAGGAUACAAAGAUAAAGAGAGUUAAGAACUGGUGAUCACAAGGUAAGAUCCACCAAGCUAAAGAUUUUUUGUUUCUUUGUCUGUUUGUUUGUUAGUUUGUUUAUGCUUAGAAAUGCAGGUCGAUACCUGAGUUCAAGGUCAGCCUGGGACAGAGGGAGUUUAUGUCCAGGCCCAGAUAUGGUAAUAAUAGUAAUGUCUGGGCAGUGUCUCAUUCAGCUUUCUUAUUGUCUUUGCUUGUGCUUGUUACCUCUUUUUACCAGUCAAGGAGCAGAGGUCAUGGAAUGUUGAUUCAUGGGUUAAUCAAAAGGGAACCUGGGGUAAUGACUGAAUUGAUACGUAAAUAAAAAACAGAGCUUUAGGUCUGCAAGAAAUGAGCUAUCCAGAGAUUUUUUUUUAAAUAGCAAGAGAAAGCUAUCUAUAGCAGAGCAGAUCACAGAGAGCAAUCUGAAAAGCUGUCUGGAGCAGAACACAGAGAGAAGCCAAUCAGGAAAGCUGUCUCGAGCAGCCAAUCAGGAAAGCCAUCUCGAGCAGAACAUAGGCCUUCAGCUUGGACCCAUGAUUUGAUUUUGAGUUGUUUGUUUUGCCACUACCAGACACCCUCUCUCUCAGAACCCAUCUCCAGGCCAAGACUGGUCAAUGACAUUCUAUCAUGCACUCAGCGCACAUGGAGAAAUUUAAUUUCAAGGCAUGUUUUAAAAUCAUUCUCUAACUAGAUUUGGGAAACCAUCACGACCCAUAAUGCUGCUCAGUUGACUAUAUCACAUGUCAGUUUAAAAGAAAUGUAUUGAUUUCAUUCCUCCCCAAAGAGUACAAAAUUUCCAUUGUAUUUAACUGACUAUUAAUAGAAGUUGAAAUUGCUCACAGGACACUCCUAGUUUCAGAAGGUAUAAUGGCAUCAAUAUCAAGAUGUGAGAACCAAUACUAAUGUCUGUUUUAUUCAGUCCACUUCAUGAUUUUACUUUUUAUUGUGAAAUGCUAAAUGUCUGUGUAUAUACUACUAGAGACACAUUUUACCAUUCCCUUCUGGUAGUAUGUGGUAUAAUUUGGAAGAAUGAGCACAUGAUUUGGAAGGCAUGCCUAAUACUAAAAUGAUGUCUCUUGUCAGUACUAUGGUGAGGAUGCAGCAAAAGGCCACUAUUUAUUGCUUUCUUGCUAUGUUUGCAUGCCUGCAAUCUAAAAAAUUUAUAACAUUCUGGAAAGGCUAGAAUUUUCCCUGAUGAUUAGAUAAAUUGACUCUAUUUGAUCUACACACACACACACACACACACACACACACACACACACACUCACCACUCAUACAAGGUGGGCUAAGAGAUUUCUGUGCCAGUGGAAGUGGAUUCUAUUUUAAUUGUCACAGACUUUUUUCUGAAAAAAAAUCUUAACUAAAGCUAUGUCAAAACAAAACUCUAACUAACGUUGCCCUCCAGCCCCUUUCUCUGUUCUGUCAAUACCACCCUUAUGGCUUUGCUCAUUUCUCUUCACUCUUACUCUGCCUACUUCAUCUGUGUCCUCUUCAAUAUUAGUUUUAUAUCCUCCCAUGUUUCUUCAUUUCUCUCUUGAGGAGCAAGCCUUCAUUUGUCUGCCCCAACUUUUUUCUCACAAUGUGACUUCUGUGAGCAGAGUUUUGUGUAAUGUGUAAAGGAAUAUACAAUUACUGCACUUUCAAGCUCAACAAUCAUUGGGAAAGAAGAGGCAGAAAGACUUUACAAGUCAGAGGAACAGGAAGUUUGCUGUGAGAUUGUUUCCCUUAGAAAUGUGAGAACCUAUGCCCUUGAAGUCUCAGCAACAUGGCUAUCUAGACUAGACCUGAACAAAGACAUUACCAAUAGGCACGCUAAUGAGGAAGAACGGAUGCUUACUAGAAGUCUCAACUCUAGACAAAGAACUAGCAGCAAUUAAGGAAUGCUGGGAGUGGAGAUGGCCUUUUCAGGGAGGUCACACAACUGGUUAUUCUAUAUCAAAAGGUCAGCCUCCAAACCAUGUACAUACAUGUAACAUGUACAUACAUGUAACUGUAUAUAGAAAGACCAUAAUGCACACAAAAUGUUGAAAAAUUAUCCUCUGCCAGCAAAAUGAGCCAAGUCAAGACAGUAGAGUAUUUUGGGUUUAUUGGGAGUAUAUAGCUGGUUUAUUAGGAAGCAGCACUAGGGUAGGUUCACUGAUUCCCCAGGAACAAGGACAGGGAAGUCACCAUGGGGAGGAAGACAGAGGGGAGGAGGAAGAGGGAAAGAUUGUGCACAGGCAGGAAGAAAAGGCAGAAAAGUGGAGAGAAAGAGAGGAAUGACCAAAAUGUCUCUGGAUGAUAUUAGGAGAAACUUCUGGGGGAGAGGAAGCAGAAUCCCAGAACUGGAAAAUUCAGGGUAAAGAGCAGAGGAUGCCCAUUAUGGACUGAGGGAUGCUGGGAGAUGCCUGGAGGUCAUCUCUAUUUUGGUAUGUUAGGUAUGCACCUCAGCCCCUUGGCCAGGGUCUGAAACCCAACACAGCU
rnacentral:lncRNA from 1 species